UGUAUGCGUCGACGAGCUUGACACUUCUGGGACUGGUGUAGACGCGCUCUCGCAUUGUCCUCUCUGCGCGCUCCCGUGACACCUUCAGUUCCAGAAGCUGUAGUUUCCUCCUUAAUGUCCUGUUUUCUUUCUGGCUUUGAGUUAUUUCCAAACGAAACACUGCAUAGUCGUCGUCUACGAGUUUGCAGACCUCUGCCACGGCUGCAUUCGCUAACACCUCCAUAAUUGAGGCUAUUUGAGUGUGAAAAACCAUAUCGUUAGCCAUUGUUAGUUAACCCUUAGCAGCUAGUAAGCGUUACCUAGAUAACAUUUAACAACCAAGUCCUGUUUCCAACGCGAAUUAAAGACUACACUGGGAACAGGAGGGUCUAUCUCUAUCAGGCCCUGCUCCAUCCCUGCACUGAGACUGUGAAGAGAAGGGUCUGGGCUGCAGACUGGAUCCCUGACUGGAGCCUCUGUCCUGGUGGUCAUCAGAGAGACCGAGGUUGUUCAGUCCACCUGUCGACUGGUUGUGUUCUGUGUGGUGGUUGUGGUGGAGUCUCUGUCCCUCACGGUUGGGUCCUGGUUCCGAUUCCGGAAGGAAGACCGACGGCUCCUGAUCCAAGGUGGCUGGGUUUGUGACCUCAGAGGUCCAAUCUCUCCCACCAGUAACACUAGAUAUCAGCAGGUCCUGAUGGACUGCAAACUGUAAACACAAAUUGUACAGGAAAGCAUAAAGGUUUAUAUUAGAAACAUGAAACAUGAUAUUAUUAAAUGUUAACCACAGUCAAGCCCAUCUCUAACACUGUGAUUCAAGUACCUAACAAUAUGGAGUAUGGAGCCAUUGGAGUUUAAUAAAGAAACAUGUCCAUA